rnacentral:tRNA from 1 species
UGCUGUAGCUNAGUGGUUUAGUACUUGCCUGAAAUGCACAAGGACCUGGGUUCAAUCCCCAGUACUGCAA